UCAACUUAAUGUGAUCAGGUGACAUGGUGAAUCAACUUAAUGUGAUCAGGUGACAUGGUGAAACAACUUAAUGUGAUCAGGUGACAUGGUGAAUCAACUGAAUGUGAUCAGGUGACAUGGUGAAUCAACUGAAUGUGAUCAGGUGACAUGGUGAAUCAACUGAAUGUGAUCAGGU